rnacentral:misc_RNA from 1 species
AAAAUACAGCUCGGAGUUGAUGAAAAGAAUAAUCAUAUGACAAAAUACGGACCAAAAUACGGUCUGUAUACACUGGUAUACGUCAGUGUAUACAGAAACUUGGAAGGAGAAAUAGGCCCAAAAUCCUUAAAAAGUUUGUUUUGUCCAGCAGGUCUUGUAGCAGACAAUGGGCUCAAAGGACCAAAUUUGAUACCUCUAUCUUUCUCUUUAUUUUUGUAG